rnacentral:lncRNA from 1 species
UUCUGAAUCAAAGCCUUUAUGUUCACGUUGAACUGCUCGUUGGAAGAUUCAUGGCCUGAGCCAGUUUGAGUAUUUUUCUUAUGAAUAGGGGCCCUUGAAACAGUUCCUUCUCAUUUAAUUUACCUUUUUUUCUUUUUUCUUUUUUGUAGGCCUUCAAUGCAGUGGACAAGCAAGAUAGAAUGGGAGGCACUUGCAGCCUGAAAGAAAAGGAGAAGAUGAACUUCAUGCUGCAUUCCUUUUGGUGGAUAAGAAGCAUCACACUGCAUAUGAUGUCACCAAACUUCGUACCGCAGCAGUUAAAACUUGUAGUGUAAGUAGA